GGAGUUAGGAAAUGUAAGUGCGCUAAUAUCGCAUUUAUCUGACGAAGGCUCCAAAGGAAGCCACGGCUAACUCUGUGCCAGCAGCCGCGGUAAUACAGAGGUGGCAAGCGUUGUUCGGAAUUAUUGGGCGUAAAGAGCACGUAGGUGGGUCUGUAAGUCAGAUGUGAAAGCCUUCUGUUCAACGGAAGAAUUGCAUCUGAAACUGCAGGUCUUGAGUGUAGGAGGGGAGAGUGGAACUUCUGGU
rnacentral:rRNA from 1 species